GAUGGAUCGGACAUUCCCUUUGAAGAGGAGCUGCGAACAGUGUCAGUUUUGCGUUUAGUGGCGGCAUCUAGACGAAAAGCGAGCCCGCAAACGUCUCUUACACACCAGGAGGCGGAGCGUACAGAACGAGCUGCGAGCCGUACAACUGAGCUGGAACGAUGCCAUGACUAUUUCUCAAGAUAGAAAGGCGUGGAAGGAUCUUGUGGAAGGCCCUAAUGUACCUCCAGGAUGUCCUAGGACUAACAACAACACCAAAAACCUAAACUACCUUAUAUGUGCUAAAAUACCGCAGUCCUGAAGCUCAGCAGAUUAGAUAUUGUUACUUUGGAGAAAAGAUUAUAAAAAAUUCUUAAUUCAAGCCUAAUCGCCACAAAGUCCUAAAUAUUCAGACAAAUAAAAAAUAGUAAAAGUUGAGGUUAUAAGUUGGCAAUUUUUUCGUUAUAAUAUCUUAUUGAGCCGUAGAAAGGCUGCCGCCGUUACUAAGGCCGUUGACCUUUGACAAACCAAAAUUAUCAUAGAAAAGUGUUGUCUAUACAGUAAAAAUAUUGCGCUGUCGCUAGUGUUGCAAAUUAAGUGUAUCAAGUUACCCCAGUUCCCCCAAACAACGGUUCAAAAGGCUACUGAUAACGAUAAUAUUUCAAUGAGUAAGAGGACUCGAUGCAUCAUAAAUACCGCAGACGCGGUUUUAGCAGCCAUUCAUUUUCUUGACAAGAACGUGAGCAGACUUCAGAGUACUAUUCGCAAUGUUCAAACUAACAUUAACGCUGCUGGUGUUGGGCCUGCUCUGCCUGAGCCUCGUCGCCGCUCUACCAUCUUCGUCCAACUACGACCAGCAGCAACCACCAGCCGACUCGUAUUCUAGCACAUCUGACAGCAACAACCGCAAAUGUUUGUUUGGCAUCUUUUGUAAUGACGGAGCUUUAGUUCAAGUGGGUAAUCAUAAUUCAGGAUAGUAAGAGUAUUUCUUCUGUAACAAAAUAUUAAAGCCAUUGUAAACUUUCCUGGAUUUGUUGUAAAUAUUACGCUACAUAAUAAACAUGAUAAAAUCUUA